rnacentral:tRNA from 1 species
GCAUUAAUGGGGUAGUGGUAACCUGGGUCGUUGCCAUUUUCUGGAUGUCGACCCGCCGGGGGUUCGAUUCCCUCUUAAUGCA